AACGAACGCUGGCGGCAUGCCUAACACAUGCAAGUCGAACGAAGCCUUCGGGCUUAGUGGCGCACGGGUGCGUAACGCGUGGGAAUCUGCCCUUGGGUUCGGAAUAACAGUUAGAAAUGACUGCUAAUACCGAAUGAUGUCUUCGGACCAAAGAUUUAUCGCCCAAGGAUGAGCCCGCGUCGGAUUAGCUAGUUGGUGAGGUAAAGGCUCACCAAGGCGACGAUCCGUAGCUGGUCUGAGAGGAUGAUCAGCCACACUGGGACUGAGACACGGCCCAGACUCCUACGGGAGGCAGCAGUGGGGAAUAUUGGACAAUGGGCGAAAGCCUGAUCCAGCAAUGCCGCGUGAGUGGUGAAGGCCUUAGGGUUGUAAAGCUCUUUUACCCGGGAUGAUAAUGACAGUACCGGGAGAAUAAGCCCCCGGCUAACUCCGUGCCAGCAG
rnacentral:rRNA from 1 species